UCUAACAUCAAAAGAUUGGACAUUGGAACAUUAGUUUUGAAAUCCAAACGUUUGGAAUGGUUGUUGGGGAUCCAAACAAUAGUGAUGUCAUUAAGGAUGGUAUAACAAGAUAACGGUAACUCUGUACCUGUACACAUCCUAGUUAACAGGUUUGCAUCUAAAUGUUGUAUAAAAUAAAUGAUUAAGUAUAAGAAUACUUUUGUGAAGAUAAUGUGAUUCCAGCCUUCUAAAAUGAGAUAAUUGUUUUCUAUGUAAACCUAUGCUCAGUCAGUGGCCACACCCAAGUGAGCACAGACAUUGUGUUGGCGCGAUGGACCGCUCCCUUUCUACCCGAGUAUAAAACCUUUUGGAACUAAAUUUACAUUAUACCAGAGAACAUGUGGACGUGGUCCACAUGUUGAAAUGGUUGAAACUACAAGACCAGAAAAUGGUAAGACCCGCUGAAACUCUUGACGAGUGAAGAAGGUGAAGACUAGACCAAACAUUCACAGUCUGCAGCUGGGUAUGUAAAGUAGUCUAGGACAAUUGACCAAAGAAGGUAGGAAGAACAGAUCCCUCUCACCACAGUGUGGUACACCUGGAGGUAUCUAUUCUAAGAACACUCCAAGACAAAGAAGCCUACAACUAAGAAGGACAUUGUGACCUCUGGUGGACAACCAGAGACUUACAUCGAACUACUGCCCAUAGACUCGAGCGGUUUCAACAGAGAGACGACAGAGAAAGACAUCUACACGAGGCUUUGUGUUGCAAGUCAUUAAAGAUGGAUAACGUCAUGAAGGUGGUUUUUGGUGAACUGGAGAAAGACUUCAACGUUUUUUGCUCGCCAUUCACCGUGAAUCCCUCUGAUCUGCCCGUCAGCAUCCAUCUUGAAAUAAUAGACUUGCAGUGUGACUCGGAUAUGAAGGGCAAAUUUGCCGCAGCUGGCUUGGACACAUUUUAUCAGAAUCUCUUGCCAGGUUACCCCAACUUGACAGCCCUCGCUGCAAAACUGUUGUGCAUGUUUGGAACCACAUAUCUUUGUGAGCAAGUUUUCUCUGUAAUGAGCAUAAAUAAAACAAAGCUGCGCUCAAGGCUCACGCACAAGCACUUGAAUCACAUCCUGAAGUUGGCUGCAACUCAGGAUGUGACGCCUGAUAUUGGUGCGCUGGUGAAAGCUAAAAGAUGCCAGGUAUCAGGAGUCAAAUAAACUAUGCAACCCCACUUAAAGUGCUGCAUGAGACACCCUGAUAUAGUUCUGUGAUCUGUGAUAUACUUCUGUGAAUCACUGAGGCAUUGUGUGUUUGUGUGUUCUUUUUCUUUAGAAUUUUCAAAUAAACUUGAGGUGUUUUAUGAUUAAUAGUGAUGUUGUGCUUGUACUAUUGUGGACACACUGUCCUCAGGCUCCAGCUUUAUGUUUUAUGUUGAUCGUAUUAAAACAAAGAAAACAAUCUGAAGUUGUUGUUUUUAAGUUAUAUAUACCAUGAUUUUACCGGUCCGGCCCACUUGGGAAUAGAUUUUCCUCCAUGUGGCCCCUGAGCUAAAAUGAGUUUGACACCCCUGAUCUAGACAAUACACAAACAUGUAUGAGCAACGACCUAAGUUGUCAAAAGGUAGCUAGUUAGUUAACUAACUACGUUAAUGGUAGCCAAAACAUUAGCUAGCCUGCCUCACUUUAUCAAAAGAUAGCUACCUACAUAACCAGCAAGAAUGUUAUAUAGCGUCGUUGGCUAAAUUAUACCAGAUAGCUAGGACAUUAUGUACCAGUAUCUCUGGUUAUACGCACCACCACCAUUCGAUGCACACCAAGCUAGCGUUACUGGUGCAAACUUGGGGAGCGACAAACUCCAACCACCUAUUCCGCAUACUAGGCUACUAGUACUAGCACAGAUAGAACAAUGAGACUAGUUAUACAAAUCUUUGGCACUGAGGUCCUCUGGCAGGGCAUGCAAACUAUAGAACUUUGGUUUCCACUAGUUACCACAGCCACAAAGUCAAAACGUUGUCUGUGGAGGCAUGAUCAAUGUGUAUAAGUAUUUUCAGUCUCAAACCGGCAGGAGGCGAUGAAACAACAGAGCCCCAUUCAAUGAAGGGAAGCGGAAGGAUGAUUUGCACGUGGAGAUUUGCAAAAUUAAGCUUGAUUUGUUGAUAUUGUAAUCCAAACCCAACCUUCAUUUACUCGUUGUGACACAGGUUCCAAACUCAGUUUUAGACUAAACUGACUUUAUUACCAAAAUUAUCCUAUUUACACUUUGUAGUAAAUUUUAACACUAGAAUACAUGUUUCUGACUCAUAAUGAUGCCACGUAGGCCAUUUUAAGGGCAGUCUCUCAGAUUUUUUGUAUUGUCAAAUUUUCAGCAACAGUCAGGAGAAUAAUAGUUUAGAGUUGUGUAGUGAACAAUUGUUUAUUUUGUUUAACAACAAAUGUACAAGUUGUAGGCAAAGUAACAUUUUCUUUUUCACAUUAACAUGAUGGUCUUUGGUAUAGAUAAUGUUUUGAUAAAAAUGUAUUUGACAAUAAAUCCAUUUGAUAUUA